UUUUCAGAUAGUUGAUCUAAUUGCAUCCUAAUCUUCCAAGAUGGGCAACGUCAACAAAUCCAUGAUGGAGGCUACACGUAGAAACCAGGAAUUUAUGCUAGAAACUCAGAGAGUUCAACUUGAGAGACAGAUCCAUAUGCAGAAUGAAAUGCGUGAGAAAAUGAUGUCGCUGCAGAUAGCACGAUCCAGAGAACUUUUAUAUUGGUUUGGAACUUUUUAUGCUGUUGCUGCUAUAGGAAUGGUAACUGGGUUUCGCCGCACGCGGAAGCCUGGUACACUGGUUCCACUUCUUCCUCUUACCUUUGUUUUGGCAUAUCAGGCAGACUUGGCCUAUGGAUCCAAGAUCAACAGAAUUAAAAUGGAAGCUGAGAACAUCAUUAUGUUUGAGCAUGACCUGUUGUCUCUUCCCAUGGGAGUUCCAACCCCUGCUUCAAUUGAUGAGGCUCGUGAACGACAGGAGGAGACCAAGCGACUUAACAAGGUUCAUGAAUACUAGCCCAGCACACACUUGUCAUCUCCUGUUUACCAGCAUACUUAGGCUCUGCAUCAGCAUCGUAGUGGGUAUUACUAAGCCUACCUUCCCACACCGCUACUCUUCUCACUUCCUCUUGUACAUUCAUCAAAUCCCAAGAGACCUGGAAUUAUUGGAAAUAUCUGCUGCCUGUAUUGGACUUUAAGAACCCUUGAGGGAAUGAACCAGACCUAAUGUUUUUUGGGAGGAAUUGAAGAAAGCACCUGAGAGAUUCCGGAUUUAGAUGAACACUGGAUUGCCUUUACGUCUGUCACUUAUU